UACAGAGGUCUCAAGCGUUGUUCGGAUUCAUUGGGCGUAAAGGGUGCGUAGGCGGCGCGGUAAGUCGGGUGUGAAAUCUUGAGCUUAACUCCGAAACUGCAUUCGAUACUGCGGUGCUUGAGGACUGGAGAGGAGACUGGAAUUUACGGUGUAGCGGUGAAAUGCGUAGAUAUCGUAAGGAAGACCAGUGGCGAAGGCGGGUCUCUGGACAGUUCCUGACGCUGAGGCACGAAGGCCAGGGGAGCAAACGGG
rnacentral:rRNA from 1 species